rnacentral:rRNA from 1 species
UGGGGAAUCUUGCGCAAAUGCGGGAAACCGUGACGCAGCGACGCCGCGUGGGGGAAGAAGGCCUUCGGGUUGUAAACCUCUUUCAGGAGGGACGAAGCUACUCGGGUUAAUAGCCCAGAGGGUGACGGUACCUCCAGAAGAAGCCCCGGCUAACUACGUGCCAGCAGCCGCGGUAAUACGUAGGGGGCAAGCGUUGUCCGGACUUAUUGGGCGUAAAGAGCGUGUAGGCGGCUUUGUAGGUCCGCUGUGAAAACUCGAGGCUCAACCUCGAGCUGUCGGCGGAAACCACUUGGCUAGAGUCCGGAAGAGGAGAGUGGAAUUCCCGGUGUAGCGGUGAAAUGCGCAGAUAUCGGGAAGAACACCUAUGGCGAAGGCAGCUCUCUGGGACGGUACUGACGCUGAGACGCGAAAGCGUGGGGAGCGAACAGGAUUAGAUACCCUGGUAGUCCACGCCGUAAACGAUGGGUGCUAGGUGUGGGCGGUGUCGACUCCGUCCGUGCCGAAGCUAACGCAUUAAGCACCCCGCCUGGGGAGUACGGCCGCAAGGCUAA